rnacentral:rRNA from 1 species
GGAGUUAGCCGGUGCUUCUUCUGUGAGUGAUGUCCUUCCUGCCGGCUAUUAACCCGCAGGCCUUCUUCCUCACUGAAAGUGCUUUACAACCCGAAGGCCUUCUUCACACACGCGGCAUGGCUGGAUCAGGGUUGCCCCCAUUGUCCAAUAUUCCCCACUGCUGCCUCCCGUAGGAGUCUGGGCCGUGUCUCAGUCCCAGUGUGGCUGAUCAUCCUCUCAGACCAGCUACGGAUCGUCGCCUUGGUGAGCCGUUACCUCACCAACCAUCUAAUCCGACAUAGGCUCAUCCGAUAGCGCGAGGCCCGAAGGUCCCCCGCUUUCCCCCGUAGGGCGUAUGCGGUAUUAGCCUGGGUUUCCCCAGGUUAUCCCCCACUACCGGGCAGAUUCCUAUGCAUUACUCACCCGUCCGCCGCUCGCCACCAGGGAGCAAGCUCCCCGUGCUGCCGCUCGACUUGCAUGUGUUAGGCCUGCCGCCAGCGUUCAAUCUGAGCCAGAAUCGAACCCUGA